AAGACCUUGCGCUUUUGGAGCGGCCGAUGCCUGAUUAGCUUGUUGGUAAGGUAAAAGCUUACCAAGGCUUCGAUCAGUAGCUGGUCUGAGAGGACGGCCAGCCACACUGGGACUGAGACACGGCCCAGGCUCCUACGGGAGGCAGCAGUGGGGAAUUUUGGACAAUGGGGGCAACCCUGAUCCAGCCAUGCCGCGUGAGUGAAGAAGGCCUUCGGGUUGUAAAGCUCUUUCAGCCGGAACGAAACGGUUACGGUUAAUACCCGUGAUUACUGACGGUACCGGAAGAAGAAGCACCGGCUAACUACGUGCCAGCAGCCGCGGUAAUACGUAGGGUGCGAGCGUUAAUCGGAAUUACUGGGCGUAAAGCGUGCGCAGGUGGUUUUGUAAGUCAGAUGUGAAAGCCCCGGGCUCAACCUGGGAACU
rnacentral:rRNA from 1 species